GAGGCGAACAAAGCCCGCCUCAACAGAUCACUGAGCUGUUGAAGCUACGUCUGUCGCAGCGGGCCUUGUUCGCCUCAAUAAACCCAAAAAGCCCCCUCAACAGGUAUUUUUUCCACUAGUGAUUCAUUCGCACCAAAAGAAAAAAAAAAAAAACAAUCGCGCCAUUAAUUUCAAAGACCCGAACCUCAGAGCUUGAAUUCGAGCAACAAUGGCGGCACUCCGUACUGAUAUAGUCGCAGAUAUUCUCUCAAGAUUGCCUGUCAAAUCGAUUAUCCGCUUCAAAUGUGUCUGCAAAUCCUGGGAUUCCUUAAUCAAAACCCCUAAUUUCAUCAAACUUCACCUCAAUAAAACCCUACUUUCUAAUUCCGAUCGCCGUCUCCUCGUCUCAUCACCAUGGUCAUCUCUUUAUUCCGCCGAUCCAGACCUCAACCGUAAACGCCUCUCUUUCUCGGAGCUCCACCACCCUCUCAAACCCUACAAAGUUGCCACAUUGGUGGGUUCCUGCAACGGCGUCGUUUGCAUCUCCGACGAAUCCAAAAACGACGUCUUCUUAUACAAUCCUCUUACAAAAUCACGUCGUAAGCUCCCCGUCAAUCGAAUUCCUAACCCUAACAUAAAUUUUGCGUUGUUAGGGUUUGGGUACGACAACAAGAACAACGAUUACAAAGUUUUGAAGUUAGUUCAGGGGUUGGUGUAUACCGAGUCUUUCUACACUGAAGCGAAAGUGUACAGUUUGAACACCAAUUCAUGGAAGUCUGUUGCAGAUGUUCCAUAUUUUCUCCACUAUAGAGGAUUCAAUGGUUUGCUUGUUAAUGAGGUUUUACAUUACAUUGUUGUCAAGCAAUUGGAAUCGCCAAUUAAGUUCAUUGCUGGUUUCAAUCUUCGUACUGAGAGCUUUUCGCUGAUUGAAUGCCCCAAAGAUGAUAAUAUAUUAAGGAGUGAUUUGAUGUUGUUUUUGUCUGAAUUGGGUGGGUGUUUGUCCCUGCUGGUUAAUAUUCAUACUCGUGAUCUUGCUAAUAUGUCCCCUAUGAUUCUGAAUGUUGAACAAUAUGUGGACCGAGUUGAUUUGUGGGUGAUGAAGGAGUAUGGGAAGAAAGAGUCCUGGGUUAGGUUGUUUAGUAUUCGUGAUCCGGAGAGGUUUGAGGCUCAUCUAGAAAUUAAGCCUGUUGUUUAUUCCAAAGAUGGGCGGAAAGUUCUGUUGGAGAUAGAUGGUGUGAGAUGUGGAUGGUAUGAUUAUAGCUCCAACAAAUAUACUAGAUGCACGGUUCAUGGGCGGCCAGAAGGAGUUGGGGAGAUGUUGUGUUUCAUGGGAAGCCUUGUUUCACUUGAAGACAAGGGGGAGCUUGCCAUGGAAGAACAAAAACAAGGGUGAUUUGGAUAGUUUUCUUUCUAAGGGGUUCAAGCUCAGGCUAUGACCGGAUUGGACUACUGCUGAGACUUAGUUCAGAACUUUGUAAUGUGACCUUUGGUGGAGGCGACCAUAUUGGAUCAAGGAGCAUCGGAUAGGGAUAGGACUCUGCAUUGUUAAAAGUUUGCACGUUCGAUUGGUUUUAAUGCCAUUUUGCCUUGAUCAUAGCCAACAAUGUCAAAAGCUGAAGCAGUAUUCAGUUAAUAUUAUGUUUUGGAAGUGACCCUUGGUUGAGGUGGCCAUUGAAGAACUCACUUGGAUGCUAUUCUAUAUAGGCCUUUUCAAGUCAAGAAGGAGGGGAUAUUCGAUACACAAGAUCAUUCUCACCAGCAUUCCACGGAGACGCCGCCGAGUACGAGUAGAAGUUCUGGUACACCCACUGCAACGCCGUGAACAAGGGACAAAUAACUUCCAAAUAUAACACCAUCUCCUUUUUGUGUCCUUCACUAAUUAGCUUCUUAUAGAUCCAUUUCGUAUUUUUCCUAAUGUGGCGAUUAUGGAUUUUGUCUGAUACUAUUUUGUCUGAAAUGUAUUCUGUUGGAUUUUUUUUUUUCUUUGUUUUAGUGUUCUUUUUUUAUCUGAUUAGUUUAUAAUCAGUUAAUAGUUGUAAUUGAAGUCAUGUAUUCGAUCAUAUUAUUUUUGUUUAUAUACUAUUGUAUGUUUUAGUGGUUUAUUUGUUGUUUUGAGGAGGGAAUCCAGUAGUAAAGAACAAUAACUAACGGUAUAAUAAUAAUUAGUUUGAUUGAAUUGAUUUUAAUAUGUCAAUUAUGACAUUCGUUGAAUAAGAAUUGCGCAGUUAACAUAAUGUAUUUUAGCACGAUAACAAGAGAACAAAUUAUGUUAAAGAUGUGAUUUAAGUCAAUUUCUAAUUAGACCUUUUCAUCCUACAUAAUAUAUUGUCAAGAUUACAAGAGAACAAAAUAUGUUAAAGAUAUGAUUUAAAUCCAUUUCUAAUUAGGUCUUUUCUUUUAGUUUGUUGGAACUAAAACAUACUCUAAUUAAUACAUAUUAUGCGGUGAAGACAAGUUAUGUUAAAGAUGUGAUUUAAAUCAAUUUCUAAUUAGGCUUUUUUAUCCUACGUAAUAUAUUAUCAAGAUUACAAGAGAACAAAUUAUGUUAAAGAUAUGAUUUAAAUCCAUUUCUAAUUAGGCAUUUUCUUUUAGUUUGUUGGAACUAAAACAUACUCCGUACUCUAAUUAAUACUACCUCCGUUUCAAAAAGAUCUUUACAGUUACUAUUUGCACGGACUUCAAUGCAAUAUUUAACUACUAAUAUAUCCAAUUUCGUAUGUGAAAAAAUUCUAAAAAUUUGAUAUUCUGAAAAUAUAUCCCGAGACCAAUGUAACAAGAUCUUACAUGUAACAUUUUGAUGUAUAUAAUGGUGAGAAUUUACGGUCAAAUUUUUUAUACUUUGGACACAUUUUCCAAAGCGUAAAGAACUUUCUGAAACGGAGGUAGUACAUAUUAUGCGGUGAAUCUAUAAUUAGAAUGGACAUGGAUGCACGUAAUAUUCGAUACGAAGAGUAUUUACAAUACAAAAAUGCAAGAUUAGCAGUUAGAAGGAAGUUAUUACUUAAACGCACUGCAAACCCUGAUUGAAAAUACAUAUUUAAUAUUGUACUCUUACAUCACAUAAUGAUUAAAAAUGUCACUUACUAUUGUACUCUCUCUUGCUUAUUCAUGAUAGUAGGGGAUAAAACUGGAAGUAUCUAUUUUCAUACUCCGUAGUUAUUUUCACGAUAGAUCGGUUGUAAGGGAUAAAACUAGCUACUAUGGAAGUGUUGGAUGAUGUUAAUGGAAAUUUUGACUAAUAUAGAUGUAUAAACCGUUUGUAGAGUAUCAUAUCAUAUGGGAAAUGUAUUUUCUUAAAUCCAAAUUAAAUGUACAAAGUACUUUUUUUGAAUCAAUACUAUCAAACAAUUGCAUAAUGAAAUAGUUUUAACCUGUUUUCAGUUUUGGUUCCAGAAGUAUUUUUAUCUUAAAUAUGAAAAGACCUAAAAUAAAUAAGUGACCUACUAUUAUUGACAAUCAAAAGAGAAUACUAGAAAUUUCUAAUUAUUAAUAUCCUGUGCAUUAGCACGGGCACAUGCUAAUGCAACAUUAUCAACCGCCUCGUGCAUUUGCACGGGCACACACUAGUAUUAUAAACAUUUAUUGUGGGUAAAUUACGAAGUGAUAAUAUUCUUUUUACUAUUUUAUUGAAUCUAAGUAUAAUUUCUGUUUGCAUUGGAAAUCAAAAGUUUAUAAGUUCCUUUCGAUAUCGUUUUUUAUUGUAUGUUUUUUAGAAAACUAAAAACAAAAAUAUCGAAACUACAAAAAAAUAAUUUCCAUUUUUUUGUUGUCAACUUUCAAAAAUUUAAUAGAUUCGUACAUUGCACACGGAGCUAACUAGUAUAGAAUCAAAGCAUAGGUAACGCUAUAUGGCCACAUAACAAAGUAUCAUCAAGGAAAGAAAUGUAGCAUUAAUUAAAAAAGAAAUUUGAGCAAGCAACUUAAUUUUCCACUAAACAUAAUCAAAGAUUUUUUACUCAAAAACAAACCUAGAUUAUAUGAAUUCGUACUUGACAAAUUGACAUUAAGGGUUUUCAGCCUUGAGAAUCAAUGUAAUCAUAAUCUAAUGCCUCAAUUAAUCAAUCAAUACCUAGUAUUUAAAAAACAUAACUAUGAUUAUUUUAAUGAUACAUAAGCCACUUCAUCUUGAAGAUACGUGUCCACAUCUUAUUAAUUUUUCUAUUUACUUUUGUUAUAAAAAAAUAAUGGACAUUCAUUAUUCCACUUUAUUUCCAUUAGUUUUAACGUAGUAUACUACUAAUCCCUAAUUUAUUAGAAUUGUACUCCCUCUGUCCCAUGUUUAUAGCCCCGUUGACAAAAAACACGGGUUUUAAUAAAAAUGGAAUAUAUUAUAUGGGAAAUUGUAAUACACUCCCUCCGUCCCUUAAUACUCGCACCGGAUUGACCGGUGCGAGUUUAAGACAUUUGAAUUGACUUAUAAUUCAAUGAUUGUUAGUUGGUAGUGUAGUAUUUUUUUUUAAUAUAGCUAGUGAGAAAUGCGUAAGGGGUGAGGAGUGGUGAGUUGGGGGUGUGAAUUUUUAAAUGAUUUUUUGUAGGGAGUAAGGUUGUAGGUGGGUUAGUAGGUAAGUGUGAGAAAUAAUAUAAUAUUGGUAAAGAUUUCCAUUUAUAGAAGCAGUGCAAGUAUUAAUGGACGACCUGAAAAGGAAAGCGGUGCGAGUAUUAAGGAACGAAGGGAGUAGUACAUUGAUAAUUGAUUUGUAUGAGAAAGUUCGAAUAUAGUACAUAAAAAAGGGAAUAUAUUACAUAAAGAAUUGAAAUAUAGUACACGGUAAAGUUUUUUUGGGCUUUCAAUGCAUUUUAGAUUAAUAUAGCACAUGGAAAAGUGGAAAACUUAAUGGCCAAAAACAUGACUAUAAUUUUGGGACGCUCAAAUAGAAACCGAACUAUAAAAAUGUGACGUAGGGAGUACCAAAAGUUAGGAUCAUUACUAAACUUUAUUAUUCCUAAACAACCGUCCCUUACUUCAUCUUCCCCAUUCUUCAACUUCCCAUUAACUCUUUAGCCUUAAUUAUUUUCAAUGUCAAUUUAAUUCAAUCCCCAAAUCUUCUACCCUUCUCAUGUAGCAUUCAUUCAAAUUUAACCUCUCACUAAUAGAUUUUUUGACUGGUCCGUUUUAAAAUGGUAAGAGAUUAUAUGGUGUUUAAUUCAACAUUUUGAUAGUUUAUUUUCAUGCAUGCAAUUCAAGUUGUAGUACCACCUCCCCCCCCCCCCCCCCCCCUCUAAGCACAUUGUUCUUGACUUUUCGGGACGCUCAAAAUAAAAACAGGACUAUAGCAUGAGACAGAGGGAGUACCAAAAAAUUAGAAUCAAUAAUUAACUUGAUUAUGCCAAAACAACCUUCCCUAUUCUUCAACUUCCCAUUAACUCUCCAACCUUAAUUAUUUUCAAUGUCAAUUUAAUCCAAUCCUCAAAUCUUCUCUCAUUCUUCUGUGGCGUUCAUUCAAAUUUAAUCUCCUACUAAUAUAAUUUUUUGCUGAUCCUUUUUGUAAUGUUAGGAGGUCAUAGGGUGUUUUAAUUCAACAUUUCGAUUUUUUAUUUUUAUGCAUGCAAUUCAAGUUGUAGUACCAUCCCCCCCCCCCCCUUUCUCUCUCUCUAAGCGUGUUGUUCUUGAUUUUUCUUAAGCAUAUUGAAAGUAUGUUGUUUAUUUUUCUUGCUUAAUUAGUUGCAAUUCAUUUUGCAAAGAAGGAGAAUCUUAUAAUGUAUGGUUUCCAUGCAAAUGAUUAAAAGUAGAUAAAUCUUCAUCAACAUUUUGAGACUUUUAAGUGAGUUUUAUUUGUAUAUUUUUUUUUUGUUAUGGGACUUACAAUUAGUUUUAGUUCUCUUAUAAGAAAAGUUUUGUCAGUAUAGUUCAAUAGUUAGAAUUUGUUAAGCCUUUUCCUUAAUUGAAUAUCAUGAUUAUAGUCGUACAAUGUAACAUUUUUGUUUGAUUUUUGUACCAAUGAUAUGUUAUUGGCGAUAAUAUGUGAUUUAAAGUGGACUUAUUUUUUCAGGGGAGAUGAACAUAAGUAGAAAAAUGUAAUGAUUAAAAAGACAAGACUUCAUAGGUCGUAAAGUUUCAUUAUUGUCAUUUGGUUUAAACACCUGCUUAAAAACAACAUAACUUCUAAACUCCAUUACACUACCAACAUACAACCAUCCCGUUCAUCGAACUGGCCCACAAACUAGUUUAAUAAAAUAUAGAAUUCCAUCUCUAUACCUUAUAUUGUUCAAUAGUGCCAUCUUCUAAAUUAUAAGUCCUCUUUUUAUAACAAAAAAUCCUUGCAAUCCAAGAUCUCUCGCUUCAAUUGAUAAUGUUGCAUUACUCCCCAAGAAGAUAACUUUACCACCUAAGUUACUCAUUUUUCUCCAAUAAUUAGUUCCAUUAAUUUCCUAAACCAUGUUAUCCCGAUCUCAAAACGAACCACACACAAUGACACUAAUAGAUGAUACUAAAGGUAUAUUCGUAAUUGUACUAUUAUACGAUAUUAUUAUAUAUGUGAGUCUCAGACACUCGUAUCAUUAUAGUCACAGACACAAGUCUCCAUCGCACUCAACCAAGUAAUGUUCGCGGCCAAAUGAAUUAGCCGGUGGUAUUCCAUGUACAACAAGUACCAAAAUGACCAUUCAUAUUCUCCUCAGAGUUUCUUCAAUUGGAUCAUGAUCCUAAAAAGACUUCCUUUAUCAUCUAUAGCCAAAAAAUCAUUCUUGUAAUGAAUUAUAUCAACAAUUUUUAUUUUAUUUUCACUAUGAUUGGGCGCCAUUUCAUGCAUCCAUCUCUCCACCAAUAUAAUUUCCCAGCAUCAUGUAGAGCUAAAGAUGGUCGUGGGUCGGGCCGGCCCGACCCGAGUCCCAGCCAGACACGGUCCGAAAAAAGCACGGCCCGACACGAGCAUGAAGUCGUGAGCCGUGGGCCUGGGCUACAUUUUUUUGUGGAAAAAGCACGACAAGACAUGACAUUGUAAAAAUUUAAUAAAAUUAGGCUUAGACACGAUGGCCCGACACGAAAUCCUGUAGGUCUAGGCCCUAUUUUGAACUUUUUGGCCGGCCCACCCCGCCACGAUACAGUAGGGGCCCGGUCCGUUUAGGUCACUCUCCGUGGGCCCGGUUUGAAGCCCGAUCAGGCCUCCCCACGACCGUCAUUGUGUAAAGCUACAAAUAUGAAUUGGGUUGAUGGUAAAUUUGACGAAGAUUUUCUUAAAUUGGUGCCCUGCAUAGAAUCUCACAAAAUAUUUAAAUGAAUAUCCCCGAAAGUACUGCAUAGUUAUAACAUUUUAACAUACUCGUUUUAAUUUAUUCAUCUAAUAUGCAUAUUUAAAAUGCUAAUAUUUUAAUUUGACUAAAUUAUUGAGUGAUAUAUUUUCCAUUAUUAAUAUAGCAAUUUGACUAAAAUAUUACCAAUUUAGAAUAAUUAUUAUUACGUCGUAUCUAUUAUUGCCAUAAUUUAUAAACUAAAUUUUGUUUCCAUACAUAAAUAGUUUGUAAAAAUACAAACUUUCUAAAAAGACGGUCUGACGCGUCAGACCAUCUUAUACCCGAAUUAAAGUCGCGGGUCAAGUGAAGCGUAAUUGGGUCCCGGAUUUUUUAUUUGGAUCAUAAUAUAUAAUCUUGUUUUUGCCCUCAUUCUGCCUCGUAAUUCACUUUCUCUCUCCUCACAAUCUCUCUGCGCUCUCUCUCUCCCUCGGGAUCUCUCUGCUCUCCCUCUCUCCUCAUGAUUUCAUUUUCGCCGACCUCCAUGUAUUGUCGAAUUCUCCUCUUUCUCCCUUCCAUGGCCAACCGAUCGGGUGGAGGUUGAAGUAUGGGGCGGCGGCGGCAACGACAAAGGAUCGUGACGACCAAGAAUUCAAAGAUCAAACCCUAACCAGAUCCGAUUUUCGAUGCGUUAGAUCUUUCAUGGUUGCGACGACAAGGUGACAUCGACUGUCGUCAAAUUACCGGAAACUAGGUCAAUCUAGCAGCGGCGGAUGCAGCGGUUAGAGUGGUGGUUGUGUGUGGUUUCCGACGCCGAUUAUGGUGGUGCCGAGUAUUUCAAUCGAUUUGCCGUCGAUGAUUAAGAAUUUCAUAGUUGUUGUUGUUGUUUCGUGUUGUUUAUGCAAUCUUUGAAGAGUAGUGUCAGCUGCUGUUGCUUUGGUGGUGUUGUUAUUUGUUUUAGUUAUGAACCUAUGAUCAAUUCAUUUUAGUUAUAUUCCCAAUAUGUAUUUGUAAAUGUAAAACAAUAUUAGUUAAGAAUAGUUUCAUAUUAGUUAAACUUUUGUUAUAUUUAGUUAUGAGAAAAUUUGUUUGAUUA